rnacentral:ncRNA from 1 species
UCUGUCAACUAAAGGGCAAACCUUUAACUAGCUUUUUUAAAGGCUAUCAUGCUGAACUGUAACAGCAUAAGUGACAGUGCAUACAUAGAAGCAAUUGGCGCAAUCAGUUGUAAUUGGCUUUUCAAUUUGCAUAUGUAUAGGGUAAAAAAAUUCAGACAAACGUCAGUAAGAAUUGCGCUCUUAUUGGCGUUU